rnacentral:rRNA from 1 species
UACGAAGGGGGCUAGCGUUGUUCGGAAUCACUGUGCGUAAAGCGCAUGCAGGCGGAUCAGUCAGUCAGGGGUGAAAUCCCGAGGCUCAACCUCGGAACUGCCUUUGAUACUGCUGAUCUUGAGUCCGGGAGAGGUGAGUGGAACUCCGAGUGUAGAGGUGAAAUUCGUAGAUAUUCGGAAGAACACCAGUGGCGAAGGCGGCUCACUGGCCCGGUACUGACGCUCAUGUGCGAAAGCGUGGGGAGCAAACAGG